AGGCCCCGCCCCGCCGCUGAGGGCCGAGACCCCCAACCGGUGAAGGGGCGCGGUCUGCUUGGGGGUCCUGCCAUUCUGGACCCCUGCGGAGACCUGGAAUUUUCUUUUUCGCCGCCCCACCUCCCACCACCAUCUCACCCCACCGCCAUGGAGAAGAGGCAGGAAAGGCCGUUGACAAACGGGGACACUGAGGCUCGAACACCCUGCCCUGUCUAGGGCCUCAGCCCUCGGCAGCCCGGCCUCCCGGGGAGCAGGAGGCGCCUUGUGUUUCAGGGUUUCAAAGGACGUCCGCAUCUGGUUUCUCUUUCCAGGCCGCUACAUGCCAGCGGGGGUUCCAGGCAAGGCAGAGGGCUGCCAUGUGGACUCUGCACACGCCUCCCCCGUCCAACACAGAGCCUCCACCCGGGGAACCCGCUGCCUUCUGGCCUCACUGGGAAACUGCCUUCUCUCGGGCUCAGUUUCCUCAUCUGCAAAGUGACAUCAUGGUCCCCUUCCACCAAGGGCUACCCCACGGCCAGGCACGCAGUAAAUGCAGCAUGAUG
rnacentral:lncRNA from 1 species